CAAUCCCCUUUUAGAGCCCAUAUCGACGAGGGGGUUUACGACCUCGAUGUUGGAUCAGGACAUCCUAAUGGUGCAACCGCUAUUAAGGGUUCGUUUGUUCAACGAUUAAAGUCCUACG
rnacentral:rRNA from 1 species